rnacentral:lncRNA from 10 species
CUGGAGUGCAAGGGCGUGAUCUUGGCUCACUGCAGCCUUGACCUCCUGGGCUCAAGCGAUCCUCCCACCUCAGCCCCUGAAAGUAGCUGGAAAAACAGCAUCUAGGGUACUUCUACUGUUAUGAUUCUGAGCGUGGGUGAUGGCUCAUCUGGGCACCUACUCUCUGCAAGGCUGUGAACCUGAUCCUCUGAGUAAUCUUCAUGACAGUCCUGAGGGGGUGAAGUUGUCCCCACUUGGGGACAGUGAAUGAUGGAAUGAUCUGAUCCCACAUCUUCUGCCAAAGCACACACCAUAGAAACAAGUACGAAGUGCAUUCUUAAUUCUUCAUGACAGGCAUGUGGAUUGCAGGGCCUCACCUCCUUGGUCCUCCUGGGACAUCUCACAUUGACACAGCCCACGCUGCUCAGCCCACCAGCUCUCAGCAGGCCUGCUGCCCCUGCCCUGACCCCGGUUCUCUGAGAGGUUGAAAGGCCAUGGUGAGAUAACCCAGCUCCGUGCCCCCACCUGGCAGAAGAUCAGUUAAAAGGCAUCCAAGCGGAGGACCCCCGUGGCUGCCUAUUUAGAGUUCCUUCAGAGCCUCCCAUGAUAACAGCCACCAUGGCUGAGCGCUUACAUAGCAGAGCUUACAGCUAAGAGCAUGGACUCUGAAAUAAGUCACCUGUCAUCUCCAGGCCUUAGUUUGCUCUUCUGUGAAAUGGGCAUAACGGUACCUCUCAGAGUGGUUAUAACUAAAAGAUCAUAUGCAUGAAAAGACAUACUGCAUGUUGCAUGUUGUCAUGUGGGAACUAAAAGUUGAUCUUGUAGAGUAGAAUAGUGGUUACUGGAGGAUGGGAAGGGUCAGGGGUGCAGGUGGAGAUAGCCCAAGGUAGGUGAAUGGAUACGAAGUUACAGCUAGCUAGGAGGAAUGAGCUCCAGUGUUUUAUAGCAUUGUAGGUGACUGUGAUAGUAAUUUGUUGUAUAUUUUCAAAUAGCCAGAAGGGCAGAUUUUGAAUGUUCCCAACACAAAGAAAUGAUCAAUGUUUAAGGUGAUUUUUAUGUCAAUUACCCUGAUUUGAUCAUUAUACAUUGCAUAACUAUUGUAAUAUCACUGUACCCUAUAAAUAUGUGCAGUUAUGUCAAAUAAAAGCAAAAAUGCUAAAAAAGAU